CAUAAUAUAGCUUAAUAAAAGCGUUUCGCUUACACCGAAAAGAUAUCCGUUAAAACCUGAUUUUUAUGA
rnacentral:tRNA from 1 species